rnacentral:rRNA from 1 species
GACGAACGCUGGCGGCGUGCUUAACACAUGCAAGUCGAACGGAAAGGCCUGCUUUCCCUUGUGGAUUGCGGGUACUCGAGUGGCGAACGGGUGAGUAACACGUGAGUGAUCUGCCCCCAACUUGGGUAUAAGCCUGGGAAACUGGGUCUAAUUCCCGAUAGGACUGCAGGGUGGUGCCUGUGGUGGAAAACGAUUUUCUAGUGGUUGGGGAUGAGCUCGCGGCCUAUCAGCUUGUUGGUGGGGUAAUGGCCUACCAAGGCGGCGACGGGUAGCCGGCCUGAGGGGGUGGACGGCCACAUUGGGACUGAGAUACGGCCCAGACUCCUACGGGAGGCAGCAGUGGGGAAUAGUGCACGAUGGGCGGAAGCCUGAUGCAGCGACGCAGCGUGGAGGAUGACGGGCUUCGGGUUGUAAACUCCUUUCGGCCGCGAGGAAGCCACCUGGUUGGAAGGGUGGUGACGGUAGUGGUAGAAGAAGCACCGGCUAACUACGUG